CAGAAAGGUGAAGUAACCCAUCCAAGUUCACCAGGCAGGUAAACACCAAGCUGGCGAAAUGGUGGGGCUGGGAGCCUGCAACCUGACUGGAGUUACCCUGAUUGUCUUGCUACUCCCCAGAAAGCUUAGAGACAGCAGGGCAGUUGUGACUAAUUACAAUGGCUGUCAGAAAGCCAAGGAUACAGUCCGGUUCAUCAGGAUACCCAGAUGCUAAGCUGGAACAGACCCUGCAUCUGCAAGCAGAAAGCACAGUCAGAGCUGAACCAGUGAGUGAGGCCAGGAGCUACGUGAAGGCUGGACCUCCAUCCUAACCUUGGCUGCCUGUACUCUUCUGACAGCUCCCGUUCUU
rnacentral:lncRNA from 1 species